GGGUGGGGGUACAAAAAUAUUCAGUCCAUAAUACAACCCUACUAGGAUAGAAACUUCUCAUCCUAGCUUUGGCCCUGUAGAACCCAAUUCUUAUAUCUAACCACAUAGCUAGCACCUGAACAGCUCUUCCCUGUUCUCCUACCAUCUCAAGAAGGUAAUAUCAGAUAUUUACCUGUGGCUCAGGGACUUCUACACCCUACUACAACAAGUGGAACAUAAAUCUUUCAGAAGAAAAGUCCAGAAGAUGGAGUGCAUAAUAAAGCAAUCCUGAAUUCCCUCAAGACCAAGAAGCCUAAAGGAGGCUGGAAGGAGUGGUGAGAAUAAUUGAAAUGCCUGGACCAAAUAGGUAUCCAUCUCAACCAUUCACCCAGGGCAAAAAGAAAAAAAUGUACUGAGCACCUGUUCUGUGCCCACCACCGUGAAAUGCUCAGAUUCAGUGGUGAAUGAGGUGUUUCCGCCCCCAAGCAUCAGUCUGAUAGAAGAUACUGAGAGACAGACAAUGGGAGAGGAGAGUAUGAAAGUCCUUUGAUGGGGACAUGAACAGGGUGCUAAGGACAGACAGAAAAUAAGCUAAUCUAGUCUGAGGGAGUCAAACAAAGCUUCCCAGAAAGGAUGCCAGCUAGGUCGGGUGGGAGUCGAACUGUUGGAAGGGAGGGAACAAGGACGUGGAGAGAGGGAGAGGGGGGGGAAGGACAUUUCAAGAAGCAGGAGUGUCUUAUGUGAUGGAUAAGAGGAAAGAGAGGUGUGACCCACGCAGGGAGCCGAGAGAGUACUAACUUCCGGCUGAAGUAUAGAGUCUCAGGACAGGAGAGGGGAGAGCUGAGACAGAGGCCGUGUCCCGCAGGGAGGGCCAUGUGUGUCCUACAAAGGAGCUUGGACUCUGUUGUAAUCACACAGAGAAUUAGUUGAAGGGGUUCAACCCAGGGGUGGGGGAGGGGGUCAUGAAGACCAGUGUGUGUUACAAAGAGGAUUCUGGCCACAGGGCAGAGAAUGGAUCUGUGAGGGGCCAGGGAGGGGGGUGGCUAACAGAGUUAUAGGACUCAUUAGAGCAUUUGGAGUAAUCCAGCCAAAAGAUGAAGAUGACUCAGCCUGGGGGCCUGGCAGUGGGAACAGAGAGAAGUAUUAAUAGAUACUAGGUCGAAUGCUUAGUACGGUGAGGCAGCGUGAUGUAGCAAUCGGAUGGAGGUGGGGGUGAGGGAGGGCAUGGUGUCAGGGAUGCUAUGUCUGCAGGGCCCCACAGUCCCUGAGAGUAACGGCCAAUCUCUUUUGUUCCAGGUUCUUUCCCGGUUCAGGUGGCACAGCUUUGUGUCCCCCAUACUUUUAAUCCAGCAACCCAUACGUACUUUUUGACAUCCCUCAUCUCUUCUUAUGCCCCAUUUUCUCUUCCACCUCCCAGUACCCUAACGAGGGAAGUGUGAACUGUUGUUCUCAAACCCAGAACUUUCAGUGGUUUAUUUCUUGCUUAUUUCAAGCUUAUUUCUUGCUCAGGUAAGAAUCCUCCCUGGCUAGGGCAUUGGCCUUCCUCCACACAUGGGCCCAGAAAGCAGGCCUCCUUCUGUUGCGUGGCUUUGCUAUUCCCUAGGGCCUCAGAGUUUUCGGUAUCAUCUGGUAGAAGGGGCAAGAGAGAGUGGAGAAAGUAAGCUUAUUGCUCAAAAACCCCAGCUGCACAUUCAUUAGCAAGAACUUGCCACGUGGCCCUGCCUGGCUGCACAGUCACAUUCCUGCCUACGUACGUGAGGUGGGGGAGCAUGAAGUUUUGCUAGAAAGCUGGCCGCCUCUGUCACACCCAACAUGCCUGGGUUUUAAGUCAUUCCCCCUUGUCUUUACUUAGCUGCUUCUCCUACUAGCUGGCACUGGAAUGUUUAUAAACAUUUUCAUUUAUCUGGUUUUGAUAUGGAUGGAGGAUGACACUCCUCCAAUGUACAAGCAACAGAAAGGACAGUUCACAAGCUACCCAUCACAAGGCAAACCCAUGAUUGUUUGCUGCAGCCGAGCAAAGGGCACCUGAGAGGCAGGAGAUGUGGCCUCGAAUUCUGGCUCCAUCAAUAACGUACAGCAAGACUGAGCAAGGCACUUCAUGUCUCCACACCUCGAUUUUCUCAUUAAUAAAAUGAAUGGAGUGGGCUACACCAAUGUUUCUCCAAGUAUGUUCUGUAGAACAUUCAUUCCAUGAGCUGCUCCAUUCAAAACUUCUCUGGUCAAGUAGAUGCAGGAAAUACUGUGAACGUUAAACAUCUCCUUGAAGAUAGUCAAGCCCAUAAGCAUAUUAAAUGCUCAGAAAAGUCCU